rnacentral:ncRNA from 3 species
GGGUCCAUAGCUCAGUGGUAGAGC